AUGCACAUCAUGUGGGAAUUUGUUAAAAUGCAGAUUCAAACCCUUUGGGUCUGGAGUGGGGCUGAGAUCUGCAUUUCUAACAAGUCUCAGGUGCAGCUGCU
rnacentral:miRNA from 1 species